rnacentral:rRNA from 1 species
AAGUAAAUCAGAAACAAAAGGAAUUUAUUUAAAUAAUUAUUUUGCGAGUAUAAUUGUUUAAGUAGAUAAUUAUUAAAUUAUUAAUACAACCAAAUAAAAAAAAUGGAUUAGUACCCAUGUAUCCCUCUAAACCCUAUAAUAGUAAAUAUAAAAUUAAAAUUUCAUGGCUGCAACUAUUAAGAACAAUUAGAGAAUUUUGGAAACCAAAUUGACACUCCUCAAUCUUAUUCACUAUCUGAACAUAUUUAACGUAGGGCUGUGCCAAAAUCAUUUAUAUGAUUUUAUAAUCAAGUUACAUGUAAUUUAAAUAGGAAUUUCUAAAAUGCAAUUUAAAUAUAAAUUAAGAUGUUAAUAAUUUUUAGUAUUUAAUAGUAGGGGACACAAACUCGAACUAGAUCUUAAAGGGGUUCAAAUCGUCCGU